rnacentral:lncRNA from 1 species
GCUGCCGCCCCUGGCCUGCCAGGACCCAGAGGGAGCGGAGCACGCGCCUUUGGGAAUCUUCGGUGCGCCAAGUCUGUUCGCCGCCGGGGUCUAUCACCCCCGCCCCUCGCCUCUGCCCGUGAGCGUCAGCUGGCUUGGCUUUUUCAGAGGAAACAGAGACUCUCAGACAUGAAUACUGUGACACUGACCACCAGGCCAACUUAACAUCAGCAGAUAUCCUGUCUCAGAUGAAGAGAUGGAGUCUCGCACUGUCGCCCCAGUUGGAGUGUAAUGGUGCGAUCUCGGCUCACUGCAAGCUCCGCCUCCCGGGUUCAUGCCAUUCUCCUGCCUCAGCCUCCUGAGUAGCUGGAACUACAGAAUGGCCUGUCCAGAAGACAGCCAAAUACAUCCUUCAAACAGACUUCACUGCAGGAGACAGAGUGGAUUCAUCCUGUAUUCUCCAUGUAGACUUCCAUCUUCAUGAGUACUCCAAGAAGAUGGUUCAGUUGACUAUUGCAAAGUCUCAGGUAUGUCUUUAUCAGCAGCAUGAAAAUGGACUAAUAGUACCAGUAGAGUGGGGCAUUGCUGAAAAGAUACCCGAAAAUGUGGAAGCAACUUUGGAACUGGGUGUUGAAAUAAUCUGGAGGGCUCAGAAGAAGAUAGGAAAAUGUAGGAAAGUUUGGAACCUCCUAGAGACUGUGAAUGGCAUUGACAAAAAUACUGAUAGUGAUAUGAACAAUAAGGUCCAGGCUGAGGUGGUCUCAGAUGGAGAUGAAGACCUUGUUGGGAACUGAAGUAAAGGUGACCCUUGUUAUGUUUUAGCAAGGAGACUGGCAGCAUUUCACCCUUGCCCUAGAGAUUUGUGGAACUUAGAGCUUGAGAGAGAUGACUUAGGGUAUCUGGUGG